AUGGCCGGCGCCGCCGCGGAAGGGGAGGCCGUCGUCGGAAGGGGAGCGCGCCAGUCAGCCAAGGUCAAGGCCAAGGCCAAGGUCGCGGCCGCGGAAGGGGAGGCGAUGGGGCCUCGCCUCAGCCUUAGCCUUUCUCCGGAUGCUCUUGAUCUGAUUGCCAAGAGGGAGGCCUUGCUCUCGGAGUUGGCCUCGCUCUCGUCGGAGCCUUCGCCCUCGCCGCCGCUCCCUGCAGCUUCGUCGUCGCCCCUCUGGUCCCUCAUCUUGUCCCGUUGCCUACCAUCAUCCCUACAGCCUGAGCCUGCUCCAGAGCCUGAGCAAUUCGACAGGUUGGAACACAACUGGAACAGUUCUAUGAUGAUGUUGCCGAGCCCCUCCGAGGUAGCAGCAGCUCAAGAUCAUCAACUUGUCAUGGAGGAAUGCCUUCGCCACUAUAACCUAAAUCAUCCGGAAAAUGAGUACGUACCUGCCCCUGGCAAGGUGACCAGGUACAGCAGUCCUCACAAUGGCUCUUGCUGGACUCAUGGCAACUUCGUCGCUAGCCCCAAGCACUCCAGCUACUUCUCCUUACUGCCCCCUAGACCAACUCUCUUCUUUUAUGAGCUUGUUACCAAAGAUGGUUUUCAAGGAGUUGUUUCGUGCACCCCGCUAGAUGAGCCAGUUACUGAAGCCUACAGUUUGUUUGGCCUUCAUCUUGGGUGGGGAACUCGUCGUGAUGGCAGUUCGGAUUGCCUUUGCAAUACAUGCAACCGUCUUGUUGAUAGCGAGGUUCCUUGUGUGGGGAAAGCAUUUCCGUGUGGACAUUACAAGGCAGAGUGUGUUUGUCAAAUGUGCUAUCUUCAGUCUGAAGUGCUGCAUCCAUCGCCAGAAAAAUUUGCGUUUGGAAAAUGA
rnacentral:rRNA from 1 species